CCUACGGGUGACAGCAGUAGGGAAUAUUGCUCAAUGGGGGAAACCCUGAAGCAGCAACGCCGCGUGGAGGAUGAAGGUUUUCGGAUUGUAAACUCCUUUUGUUAGAGAAGAUAAUGACGGUAUCUAACGAAUAAGCACCGGCUAACUCCGUGCCAGCAGCCGCGGUAAUACGGAGGGUGCAAGCGUUACUCGGAAACACUGGGCGGAAAGAGCGCGUAGGCGGGAUAGCAAGUCAGAUGUGAAAUCCUAUGGCUUAACCAUAGAACUGCAUUUGAAACUGUUAUUCUAGAGUAUGGGAGAGGUAGGUGGAAUUCUUGGUGUAGGGGUAAAAUCCGUAGAGAUCAAGAGGAAUACUCAUUGCGAAGGCGACCUGCUAGAACAUAACUGACGCUGAUGCGCGAAAGCGUGGGGAGCAAACAGGAUUAGGUACCCGAGUAGUC
rnacentral:rRNA from 1 species